AGUGAACGCUGGCGGCAGGCCUAAUACAUGCAAGUCGAACGGCAGCACAGCAGAGCUUGCUCUGUGGGUGGCGAGUGGCGGACGGGUGAGGAAUACAUGGGAAUCUGCCCAGUCGUGGGGGAUAACGUAUGGAAACGUACGCUGAUACCGCAUGCGCCCUACGGGGGAAAGUCGGGGACCGCAAGGCCUGACGCGAUUGGAUGAGCCCAUGUUCGAUUAGCUAGUUGGCGGGGUAAAGGCCCACCAAGGCGACGAUCGAUAGCUGGUCUGAGAGGAUGAUCAGCCACACUGGAACUGAGACACGGUCCAGACUCCUACGGGAGGCAGCAGUAGGGAAUAUUGGACAAUGGGGGCAACCCUGAUCCAGCCAUGCCGCGUGAGUGAAGAAGGCCCUCGGGUUGUAAAGCUCUUUUGUCCGGAAAGAAAAGCAUCUGGUUAAUACCCGGGUGUUCUGACGGUACCGGAAGAAUAAGCACCGGCUAACUUCGUGCC
rnacentral:rRNA from 1 species